GUGGUGCACCAGGCGCGAAAACUUUACAAUGCAGGCAACAGCGAUAAGGGGACCUCGAGUGCCAGGUUACAAAUCUGGCUGUCGUGAUGCCUAAAAAGCAUUGCAUAGCAAGGGCCGGGCAAGACCGGUGCCAGCCGCCGCGGUAACACCGGCGGCUCGAGUGGUAACCGUUAUUAUUGGGUCUAAAGGGUCUGUAGCCGGCCGGAUAAGUCUCUUGGGAAAUCCAGCAGCUCAACUGUUGGGCUUUCAGGAGAUACUGUCUGGCUCGAGGCCGGGAGAGGUGAGAGGUACUUCAGGGGUAGGGGUGAAAUCUUGUAAUCCUUGAAGGACCACCAGUGGCGAAGGCGUCUCACCAGAACGGACCUGACGGCAAGGGACGAAAGCUAGGGGCACGAACCGGAUUAGAUACCCGGGUAGUCCUAGCCGUAAACGAUACUCGCUAGGUGUCGGCCACGGUGCGGCCGUUGUCGGUGCCGUAGGGAAGCCGUGAAGCGAGCCACCUGGGAAGUACGGCCGCAAGGCUGAAACUUAAAGGAAUUGGCGGGGGAGCAC
rnacentral:rRNA from 1 species